rnacentral:sRNA from 1 species
UGCCCCUGAACGGGCGUCCGUUGGAGGUC